UCAUCGAUAAGUUAUGUGACAACCCUGAAGCCGAAAACAAGCAGCCACGCUAGAGAAGAAAAUCUGGUGGAAAAUUGACAAAAAUUAUAUUUGAAUAAACGCAAAAGCCAAUAGAGAAGUUCACACCAAGCAGGGGACUUUUUUCACGGAGCACCCCGGAUAGCACCGAAGUAAUUUUCGAACAUGGCCGAGGACUUCGAUGUGGAGGCGAUGCUCGAGGCGCCGUAUAUGAAAAACGUAAGUUCCCAAAGGUUGGUUAACAGCCGAUUAUCGUUUUAAAUUAAGUCCCAAUGGCUUUUGUGCCAACCCAAUGAGAUUAUUUUGCUGUGAACUAAAAAUGAAAGAAAAAACAGUUACUUCAUAUGUAUGUUUGUAUACUUCUUUUCCCACAUAGACACCCACAGGCGUACGUGCAUUUUGUGUUUGUAUGUAAGUCUUCGUCUCGGGCACACACACACACACACACACACACAUGUGCAGUCGAUGCAUACUAAGAUGUCUUAAAUCGAUUUUUAGCCUAAUUUUGAUGUUAAAUAAAAAAUCGGCAACCGGAACGCCAAUUUGCGUGCUGAUUUUUAUAAUUUUUUUUUUCAUACUCGACUGCGUGCAUACAGAAAAGUGUUUCGCCAACGGAAAAUCUGUCUGUGUGUGGGUUUGUGUUGUUUAUUUUUCUACGCGGCAUUUGAUACAGUCGUCCACUGCAGUGGCUGUACAGUGGGGUGCAAAAUAUUUGGCAGGGUUGCAAUCGCAACUAAACAAGUGUUUGGAAAAUAUAAAGGAUUGAAUUACUAACAGGACAGUCAUGGUUUUAUAAAGUUUCCCAUUAAACUUACUUAUAAAAAUACCAACAACGUAUGUAAGGGAUGUUAUAUACCACGUAUUUAACUUGGACUUUAAUCUCUGUUAAUGACUGAAUCGGAUUAGUAGCAAUGGUAUUCCUCUUAUCUGGGCAUGCCAUCUGUAAUAAUAUUUAAAUAGGUUUACUUCUUGGAAAAUGUCAAUAUGUCUAUAAAUAUGGUAAAAUAAUUUGGUCUGUUUCCAAAGGCCUUUUAAGUAGGAUUUACAAAUGCAUUUUUGGUGUGUUGUGGAAUAAAUCUGAUAAAAGUACCAAAACAAACAUAGUCCGACAGCUUGCCAAGGUUUUCGAAAUAGCAGGCUUUAGCCAUCUGAAGGACCAGCUAAAUUAGCCAUUGAAUUGAAUUCUCUUUCGCCCCGAAUCAAGAACCCAUGAGUUCAAAGGUCUUAUUUCUUCCUAUCUGCUGUCUCACUAAGAACAACCGAAAACUACCCACACACAAUCACCAUUAAAAAAAUUAAAAACCCAACCAAAAUGCUAGAAUAAUUCUUAAGGGUGAAAUGUCUUUGCAGAGAAUCGAAUAAGCUCAAUAUUGUUGCUAGAGAUUGUUUUGGUCAUUCUAAACACAAAAAGCUGGAGACCAUUUGGUAAGUUUUGAAUGUGCCAGAAGCUGCGAAAAAAACCAAUUACAAAAUUACAAAACAAUAAAACAAAAAAAAAAAAACCAAAACAUAUCUAGGCAUUUUGUAUUUAAUAUGAUUUGUUUAUGUUUGCGUUUUUUUUGAACACAAUCCAAUUGAAAUCGUUACCUUACUGCUCUAUGUAAACCAAUGAAACUGAACGUGCACUAAAUUUCAGAUAUACUCCUCCUAACUUGUCUGGGGCAGCAGGCAGCACUACUACUACUCUCACUCACAGUCAGACAAGAAAGAAAGUAUCGCUCAAAUUACAAAUUACAGAUUUACCAUAAACAGAAAUCGAAAAAUAAGCAUAAAUGACCAACACAUAAGCCCAAAAAGCCAAGCCAAAACCAAACCUAUUUGAACAAACAAAAUACAAAAAACGACGUCUUUUUGAGAACCAAUCAACCAGUCCACUCCACUAGCCAGCGCUAAACAUUCCCCCAAAACUGAUCUGAUUGAGAAUGAGCAUGGGAAAUUUGCCCAUGUGGAGACAACAUUUCUCGCCGUCGUGAACCAUCUGUGUGUGUGCCAUAUACAAAUUAAAUAUACUAUAUAUUUUUAGUAAAACUAUGUAUAAGAUAUCUCUCUAUAUAUCUAUAUCCUUAUUACUACCUUGCUAAAAAUUGGCAAUGAUCCCCAAAUGAUCAUUGUUGACUUAAGCAUUUCUACUUUAUAUACUUGCAGAUGCCAAAAAUUUAACUAAUUUACUUUGAUUUGCUUUCUCUUAUUCAAAAAAAAAUAUUUACGAAACUGAAAAAAUAAUAUAUCAUAACAAACUCAAUGAUAUAAUCGAAAAUCAACCAACAUCAACAACGACAACAACGUAACGAACGAUCCACACCCGUUAUGUGUUCCCACCCACCAAAAAAAAAAACUGAAACCAAUCGACAAAAAAAAUAAUCCACUUAUCUGUAUCUACAUUAUUGCUUGCGCCCAACCAACCCAUCCUCCCUGUCCACUCCCACACCCAAUCCACCAAACAAAAAAACAACCUAUCUGUGUAGAAUGUCAGUGCGGGCAGCGGUGGACGUGGUGGACGCAGGCGCAGCGGCAGCAGUCCCGGCGGCGGAGGACACGAUGAUGACGCCGAGAAUGGUCCACGGAACGGCAGCGGCGGCGGAAGCUCACACAAAAAGCAAAGCAAGCGAUCCCGG